rnacentral:tRNA from 1 species
GCAAAGGUAGCUUAAUGGUAGAGUUUAAUUUUGCCAAAAUUAAAGAUAUGAGUUCAAUACUCAUCCUUUGCU